rnacentral:rRNA from 1 species
AGGGUUCGAUUCUGGCUCAGGAUGAACGCUAGCGACAGGCUUAACACAUGCAAGUCGAGGGGCAGCAUAAAAGUAGCAAUACUUGGUGGCGACCGGCGCACGGGUGAGUAACGCGUAUGCAACCUACCUAUCAGAGGGGAAUAACCCGGCGAAAGUCGGACUAAUACCGCAUAAAACAGGGGCACCGCAUGGUGAUAUUUGUUAAAGAAAUUCGCUGAUAGAUGGGCAUGCGUUCCAUUAGGUAGUUGGUGAGGUAACGGCUCACCAAGCCGACGAUGGAUAGGGAACUGAGAGGUUGGUCCCCCACACUGGUACUGAGACACGGACCAGACUCCUACGGGAGGCAGCAGUGAGGAAUAUUGGUCAAUGGGCGGGAGCCUGAACCAGCCAAGUCGCGUGAAGGAAGAAGGAUCUAUGGUUCGUAAACUUCUUUUGCAGGGGAAUAAAGUGCAGGACGUGUCCUGUUUUGUAUGUACCCUGAGAAUAAGGAUCGGCUAACUCCGUGCCAGCCGCAGC